CAAACAUGAACCUUUGGAGAAGAUUCUUCAAAAGGGAGGAAAUAAAGAAGGCUGUCCCCUGUCAGCUAAGCUUCCAGCAGUGACAGCAGCGCCCUCUCCAAGUCCGAUGGCACUGAGAUGUGACAGGUCUUGUGACGAUUGCUCUGUGUCCUUGCCAAUGAAUGAACUGUCUUCUCCAGGACACCACCAGUAGAGAGAACUUCAGAACCAACACCUGAGGCGUCUGACUUCUACACGCAAGCAACAUGUGACUCUCGUACAAAGGAACAACUACCAUCUAAACUAGUGUUCUUCAGAGUUCAGGGGUGGAAACAAACCCCAAAGAACAACUUCCAAGGCACUGCGGGCGAUGGAGGGCGGGUCAUCACUCCCACACUCCCAGCUUUUUGUCUAUGUCUCUGGAGUUCAGGAAGACUCCAGUACAUCUGGAUUUUGGGCUUAAAAAACUUCCCUUGGCUUCAGCCCUGCCUGAUGUUGAAGGGUUAGCCAUGUGCUGGUUCCCAGGUUCCCUAGCACUACGACCCAGUUAGUACAGUUCCUCAUGGUGUGGUGACCCCAACAAUAACAUUAUUUUUGAAGCUACUUUAUAACUGUAAUUUGU